rnacentral:snRNA from 1 species
AGGCUUGGUUCGGCAGCACAUAUACUAAAAUUGGACUAAAACAGAGAAGAUUAGCAUGGCCCCUGCAUAAGGAUGACACGCAAAUUCAUGAAACCAGAUAAGCCUUA